rnacentral:rRNA from 1 species
UACGAAGGGGGCUAGCGUUGUUCGGAAUUACUGGGCGUAAAGGGCGUGUAGGCGGGACGGUAAGUCGGGCGUGAAAUCCCUAGGCUCAACCUAGGAACUGCACUCGAAACUACCAUUCUUGAGUGUCGGAGAGGAAAGCGGAAUUCCUGGUGUAGAGGUGAAAUUCGUAGAUAUCAGGAGGAACACCAGUGGCGAAGGCGGCUUUCUGGACGAUAACUGACGCUGAGACGCGAAAGCGUGGGGAGCAAACAGG